CAAUCACCAGCAUUUUGGACAGAAGAUCCCGGGCUUGGCUGGCUGAAACCACAACAAGCAGAGAAACAAAAUCAGUCCAAGGCAGAAAGUUUGGCUGAGAGAACUGUGCUCUUGGAGAACUGGUCAAUGGGCAGCCCACAAAGACAUCUCAGAGAGGUAAAGUACAAACCUCUUAGUGUUGGCUUCAAGUUUUCCUCCAAAUCUCCUCAUCUUAUAUCUCAUCACCUCCUUGACUCAAGCACUUAGAAGAGUGCUCUGCACACAAAUCAACCUCAUCCGAACUGUAAAUGAACGCCAGACUGUAUGCUAAUUCGAAAAGCUACCCUCACUGAAUGACAGAAGAAGACAUGCAUCACUCCUGAAAAAGAAAAAAAGAGGAAAUGGAGGAUUGUGGG